UACAGAGGGGGCAAGCGUUGUUCGGAAUUACUGGGCGUAAAGGGCGCGUAGGCGGCCUUCUAAGUCGAACGUGAAAUCCCCGGGCUCAACCCGGGAACUGCGUCCGAUACUGGAAGGCUUGAAUCCGGGGAGAGGGAUGUGGAAUUCCAGGUGUAGCGGUGAAAUGCGUAGAUAUCUGGAGGAACACCGGUGGCGAAGGCGACAUCCUGGACCGGUAUUGACGCUGAGGCGCGAAAGCCAGGGGAGCAAACGGG
rnacentral:rRNA from 1 species